AGAGCUCGCAGCUGCACCCACAUUCCUCAGGGCGCAUGGCUUUCCUCAGCAAACAGGGCCGAGAGACUCGACGUGAUAAAUUCUGAGAUCCGAAAAUACGCCCGCUGUUGGUUUUCUGUCCCGCCGACGGGUGGAUGGAAACGUGCGAGGCGUUCUCGGGAUGACAAAACCGAAGUUUGGAAGGAGAAGUCUCCCGGCUUGCGCAGCGGAGCUGAACGGCAGAGACCGUGAGCUGCCCCGCCACACAGAGGAAAGGGCCUGCUACACGUGCAUGUUUCUGUGUGUGCUUUUGGGAAAGUCUGCUCAGGACCCAAGACUGUGGCGUGUGGGAAAUGUUUAAGGACAGACCUCUAAAAAGAAACUGCAGGCAAGAACAUGUGCACAUCUGUGUGUUAUCAUCUUUACAGAUGCAAAGGAAAGGCCCACAUAAUUUACAAAUAACAAUAAAAGAUACUUUCGUCUUAAUUCCAUAACCUAUAACUUCAGUGUGACUUGCAAAAUGCAACCUAUGCUUCUAUUACCGAAGAAGAGGAUCGCAAAAUCAGAUGGUACAUAAAUGCUACGUCACGAUCUAGUCCCCAAAGAAAUUAUUCACACGGACGAAAACAGGGUCGUUUCAACAGGAAUGUUGGUUGAUAAUUUGGUUUGUGUUAGUGGCCAGAUGAGAGUGCACAACGAAGACACGUGUCAGUGAAAGCAGAGGAAGCCAGCAUGCUGUAAGACGCUAUUACCGCUUCGCAGAGGCACAAGUGCGUUAAAUACAGCAGGUUUCUAGACGUGCUCUGAGACAUUGGAAGGACUCCUUUAAUUUUUCGCUGUGUUGGAGCAAAACACACGUAAUGUAAAACGCCCCAUCGGAACCAUUUCUAAGUGUAACACUCAGUGGCGUCAAGUACAUUUACCUGUCGGGCAACCGUUACCACUACAUCCUUUCAUUAUCGAAAACUUUCAUUAUCGAAAACCGUUACCACUACAUCCUUUCAUUAUCGAAAACCGUUACCACUACAUCCUUUCAGUAUCGAAAACUGGACUCUGUGCCCCAUCAGGUCACCCCCAUUCACCCCUCCCCAAGGCCCCAGAGAGCCCGGUUCUACUUUCCUUCUCUGUGACUCUGCCCAUUCAAAGUAACUCACAGAGUGGAAUCACACAACAGUUGUCCUUUUAUGUCUGGCUCACUUCGCUUGGCAGAAAGUCGGAGCGUAGGUCUGAAAUACAUUCCUGCUAAGGCUUUAUGUUAACCAGUGUGUGUGUGCGUCACAUUUUAUCCAUCCCUCAUUCUACCAAUGGACUUGGGUUGUUUCCACCUUUUGGCUGUUGUGAACAACGCUGCUGUAAAUGUUGGUGUACAAAUAUCUGAGUCCCUGCUUUUGGCUCUUUGCAGUGUGGGCCCAGAGCAGGAAUUGCUGGGUCAUAUGCUAAUUCCAUGCUUAAUUUUUUGGAGGGCUCUUCUCCCAGGUUUCUAGAGCCGUCUUUUAAUUGCAUUUAUCUGUUUCCGUUUCCUCUUCCUUUGUGCUCGGCCACUACCCUGGGAAGCAGCAGGUGUCUAACGUCGCCUCUGCUUCCGCCCCUGCUCGGAUCAUAUUUUGUGUCUCAUUUAUUAAUGUCUCCAACUCUUACGGUUCCCUCAGUGACUACGUGACCGCGAACUUAGACUCCACACAGUCUAAAGCUUAGCUGGAUUUCCGGGGACAGCAGUGACAGAACAAUGACUGCACAAUCACUCUGUCUGCUCGUGUCCAACAAAUGCAGUAUAACAGGACCGUUUUUUACGUGAAAACGAAGUUUUAUCUUGUGAACAGGAAACAAACACUCCUUCUAGGAGACAGACUGUGAGCCGGCAGAAAACAAAAGCGCCCUGCAGACAAGCAGCACAUGACAAUUAUGCUCUGUGGCCUGUGCCCGUCCCUAGCAGGAAAUGCAAAGUUUCACGGAAAGCCGAAAGAGGGGACAAACUGCUCUUCCUCGAGGAAGAGUAGCUGCUGAGAGGCAGCACUUCAGAGCGUUUCGAUGACCAGCUGCGACCAGAAAGCGGACAGGGCCAUGCAGGACCGCGGAAUGAAAGGGCAGAGCUCAGAGGCAGGAGCGAAGUUGGGGCUCAGGGAGCUGGGCUCCGGAGCACACGCGUGGCUGCGGUGAUGUGGAGGUGGCGGUGGCAGCAGCAGCGGCGGCAGGAGCGGAGCGGAACAGAGGCGGCGUGGGAAGGGUCAUGCAUGCCUCACUGGGCACCUGCUCUUUCUCGGAGCCUGCCGAAGACACGAGUCACUGAUUUCCAGGAGAGGAGUGACCCUGUGGGUCCUCAGGCAGAAAGCCCAUGUCGGGGACCACAUGCAGAGCGCGCUGAAGGACGGAAACCGGGAAAUGAGAGGCCUCCUGGGGGACAAGGGGCCAGGCAGUGCUCUGCUGAUGAGAGUGACCCUGGAGGCGUUGCUUCCGUUCUUAUUCCAAUGCUACUGUAAAUGUCUCCACUCGAAGAACAAUACAGAAGUUUCCAUGAAGCAAUAAAUAGAUAAAUAAAUCAGUUUGAAUAGACGUGUAAACUUCUAUAAAUGACAUUUUAGCAAAAUUCUAAGAGCAACUUUUAUAGCAUCAGGGAGGAGAAACCACCAUUUAGAAUGAAGCUGGUUUUGUUCUUUCUUUCCUGUGGUAGCAUGUUGUCCCUGCAAAGCGAAAUCCAAGUUUCUGCCCAGUGUGCCUCCAGACUCUUCUGCUUCAUGGUCUUUACUUCGAGGCCAGCCCUCCUUCACACAUUUUGUGCUCACAAUCUCUUGUUUGCGGAAUGCUUUUUUAAAGAAAAUCAGAACCAGAGGCAGGGCCCCUCUGCCAACGUUGGUAAAGACAAGGUCCAAAGAGCCCCUCAACUCGCACUCUGCGGAUCCCACUCCAAACCAAGAAUUCACGACAGGAGCGAAUCAACGCGGGUAUCUCCUCGAUCUAUUUAGAGGCUGGAAUUCGAAUGGGGCGAUGCUUUGCCGGAAACCUGUACCUGUUGCUUUCAGUGUUAUCACGGCAUGAAUCACAGAGAUAAGUGGUGAGGAAGACGAUAUUUCUUACGGCAAAUUGUUUCCUUUCAGCUCUAAAAAUCAGUAGUCUCUUCCUAUAACCCUGCUGCAGUCACUGAGCAGAGCUACAGUAAGAGCCACUGACACUAUUAGUUGAAACUUGAAAUAAGUCAAAUACGCAUAAAUCCUCUCAAGUGGAAAAAUCUUCACUGUGGGUGUUUUUCAUUUUCAGUUGUUGAAAACAAAGUUCUGGGCGUUGUGGCUCAGCUCCCUUUUGUACUCGGGAGACUCAAAGAGAGCUGGCAUUAGCAUUAGAAUCAGCCUCCUGCAGCCGGCUUGGAACGUCCACCCCUGGGACAGAGACCACGAGCUGGUUCCAACUUAUGCCCUUGAGGUUCCUGCAGGGCGUUCACGCGAGGACGGGCGCCACGCAGCCAAACGCAGGUCAGAACGCUCUGGACUGGAAAUACAAAGGUGGCCAGAAACGAAAGAGUGUCUCUCCUUCCUAUACAAAUGCAUCCAGCUCUUUCAAAUGCAGGCCAGGUUCGCCUCCCUCCACCUGCCACGUGCCCAAGAAGUGAGCUCAUGGAGUGAAAACAGAAACACAGGCUGUGCCUGGAUGCAGGCGGGGAGCGCCGAGAAUCUUCUCUGGGUCGGAAAUUAGACCAAAGCUUAGGGAGGAAGACCAGAGCCCGUGAGGGUUAUGGGGAGACAGGCCAGGCUGCAGUGCUGGAAGCCGGUCGGGAGGCUGGAAGCUUCCUCAAGGUUUAGCAGCCCUCCAGCCAUCUCUGCAGGACACCCAGGGACUUCACUCUCACCCAGCACCCUUCGGGGCCACUGGUCAGGGUUCAGGAGCCAGCACAUCUGCUCUUUGGUUGACAGGCACAGGCCAAGGGUGUGAACUCUUGGCCCCAAACAGAAGAAGGGACUUCUGGACAACUUGGGAGGAGUUGAUGUUAACCCCCCACCCCUGCGUCAAAAGAGGAAUAAACGGAACCAUUUUGUCACUGUU
ensembl:lncRNA